GCCGGUCUGUCGCUCGGCCACGCAUGAGGGCCGAGAGGAAAGUCCGGGCAACAAAGAGCACCAUAUUUCCUAACGGGAAGCUGUCGGUGACGGCAGAGUAAUGUGACAGAAAACAACCGCCUGAAAAGGCAAGGGUGAAAAGGCGAGGUAAGAGCUCACCGGGCGCGACAGCGAUAUCGCGCGCCGCACAUCUUAUGGGUUGCAAGGUCAAGUAUACCGGCAUUCAAGGGCUGCUCGUCCAUUGCCGGGGGGUAGACUGCUAAAGCCCGGUGGCGACACCGGUGCGUAGAUAAAUGACAGACGGGACGCCGCAACUCGCUCCCCUGCGGGGUGAAAGUACGGCUCUUACAUAACCCGGCUUACAGGCGGU
rnacentral:RNase_P_RNA from 1 species